rnacentral:rRNA from 1 species
UGGUCGAGUGAUCCUGCGCCGAAGAUUUCCGGGGCUAAAACUUACUACNGAAGCUACGGCAUCAGUAAGGAUGGGUAGGGGAGCUUCCCAUACGGGUUGAAGCAUGACCGUAAGGACAUGUGGACAGGAUGGGAGUGAGAAUGUUGGAAUGAGUAGCGAGAUGUGGGUGAGAAUCCCACAGGCCGUAAACCCAAGGUUUCCAGGGGAAGGUUCGUCCGCCAUGGGUUAGUCGGGACCUAAGCUGAGGCCGAAAGGCGUAGGUGAUGGACAACAGGUUGAUAUUCCUGUACUACCGAUAACCGUUUGAGAGA